ensembl:lncRNA
UUCUGAAGUUACAGCUCUUGAUGUUAUUGGAUCGUUUGUUUUUGUAGAUGUGGUUGAUGAAGCUGUAGUCAUGGGUUCCGCUCUUGUACUUUCUGAAGUUGUAGGCAAUGUCGUUGAAGUAAAUGUUGUGGAUUCUGGAGUUACUGCUGUUGAUGUUGUUGGAUCGUUUGUUGUUGUAAAUGUGGUUGAUGAAGCUGUAGUUGUGGUCUCUGCUGAUAUUCUUUCUGAAGUCAUAGGCAGUGUUGUUGAAGUAACAGUUGUGGUUUCAGUCCUCACAACUGUGCUUGAGGGACUUUCAGUAGUUGAGUGUGCUGUAGUUACUGAUGUUGUUAUAGGUGCAGUUGUUUCUGAAGAUGUAGGCAAAGUUGUUGAAAUAAGAUUUGUGGAUUCUGAAGUUACAGCUGUUGAUGUUGUUGGAUCGUUUGUUGUUGUAGAUGUGGUUGAUGAAGCUGUAGUUGUAGGCAGUGUUGUUGAAGUAGUAGUUGUGGUCUCUGUACUCACAACUGUGGUUGUUGGAAUUUCACUAAUUGACAAUCCUUUAGUUGCUGAUGUUGUUACAGGUGCAGUUGUUUCUGAAGAUGUAGGCAUGGUUGUUGAAGUAAGAGUUGUGGGUUCAGAAGUUACAGCUGCUGAUGUUGUUGGAUCAUUUAUUGUUGUAGAUGUGGUUGAUGAAGCUGUAGUCGUGGUUUCUGCUGUUGUACUUUUUGAAGUUGUAGGCAGUGUUGUUGAAGUAGUAGUUGUGGUCUCUGUACUCACAACUGUGGUUGUUGGAAUUUCACUAGUUGACAAUCCUUUAGUUGCUGUUAUUCUUACAGGUGCAAUUGUUUCUGAAGAUGUAGGUAUUGUUGUUGAAGUAAGAGUUGUGGAUUCUGAAGUUACAGCUGUUGAUGUUGCUGGAUUGUUUGUUGUUGUAGAUGUGGUUGAUGAAGCUGUAGUCGUGGUUUCUGCUGUUGUACUUUUUGAAGUUGUAGGCAUUGUUGUUGAAGCAAGUGUUGUGGAUUCUGAAGUUACUGCUAUUGAUGUUGUUGGAUC